GAGUUAGCCGGGGCUUCCUCCAGAGGUACCGUCACUUUCUUCGUCCCUCUAGACAGGAGUUUACGAUCCGAAAACCUUCAUCCUCCACGCGGCGUUGCUGGGUCAGGCUUGCGCCCAUUGCCCAAAAUUCCCC
rnacentral:rRNA from 1 species